rnacentral:rRNA from 1 species
CAAGGAAUUUUCGUCAAUGGGGGCAACCCUGAACGAGCAACGCCGCGUGGGCGAAGAAGUCCUUCGGGAUGUAAAGCCCUUUUCCCUGUGAAGAGCGAAAGACGGUAACAGGGGAAUAAGCAUCGGCUAACUACGUGCCAGCAGCCGCGGUAAUACGUAGGAUGCAAGCGUUGUCCGGAAUUAUUGGGCGUAAAGAGCGCGCAGGCGGUUAAUCAAGUCAGAUGUGAAAUAUCCGGGCUUAACCUGGAGGGGUCAUUUGAAACUGGUUAACUAGAGUACAGCAGAGGAUAGCGGAAUUCCCGGUGUAGUGGUGAAAUGCGUAGAUAUCGGGAGGAACACCAGUGGCGAAGGCGGCUAUCUGGGCUGAAACUGACGCUGAGGCGCGAAGGCUAGGGGAGCAAACAGGAUUAGAUACCCCGGUAGUCC